rnacentral:rRNA from 1 species
UGUGUAGGCGGAUCGUUAAGUACCUUGUGAAAUCCCACGGCUCAACCGUGGAACUGCUGGGUAUACUGGCGAUCUUGAGCCACCUAGGGGCAACUGGAACAAGCGGUGGAGCGGUGAAAUGCGUAGAUAUCGCUUGGAACGCCAACGGUGAAAACAGGUUGCUGGGGGUGUGCUGACGCUGAGACACGAAAGCCAGGGGAGCGAACGGGAUUAGAUACCCCGGUAGUCCUGGCCCUAAACGAUGUCGACUAGAUCGUAGUGCCUCUGACGGUAUUACGGUCGAAGCAAAAGUGCUAAGUCGACCGCCUGGGAAGUACGGUCGCAAGGCUAAA